rnacentral:lncRNA from 1 species
CAUAGAAACAAUAACAUCAAAGAUAUCAUGAAUUCAUACAUACUCUGUAACAUAGCACAUGUCAUACCUUUAUAUUUCAUCAUCAAACAACAAAUUUCCUCUUUUAUCAGUCUACCAGUAUCCAUGGAGAUUCAUAGGGGUCCCCGCUACACGUGAAUCAUUAACUUUAACAACUUGAUUUCAGGGCCGUCCCCAUACCUCGUCCGGUAUGGACGCCAAAACAAUAAACCUCAAUACCCCGUCCGGUAUGAGGGUGAAGUGGGUUGUCCCCAUACUCCGUCCGGUAUGAGCGCCAAAACAUUUAAAGUCUCCAUACCCCGUCUGGUAUGAGACAACGUUCCCGGUAGGGUUCUCUAUGGACCCGGUCCGUCCACCAUCUUCCAGGAUAUCUAGUGAGGCUGUCAACUUAUCCAUUUAUCAAUUCACAUACCUUUUCUAUUUUUUCUUAGUUUUCUAUUUAUCACAUAAU